rnacentral:rRNA from 1 species
AUACGGAGGGUGCAAGCGUUAAUCGGAAUUACUGGGCGUAAAGCGCGCGUAGGCGGUUUAGUCAGUCAGAUGGGAAAGCCCCGGGCUCAACCUGGGAACUGCAUUUGAUACUGCUGAACUAGAGUAUGGUAGAGGGAAGUGGAAUUCCGGGUGUAGCGGUGAAAUGCGUAGAUAUCCGGAGGAACACCAGUGGCGAAGGCGGCCCCCUGGACCAAUUCUGACGCUGAGGUACGAAAGCGUGGGGAGCGAACAGGAUUAGAAACCCUAGUAGUCC